rnacentral:rRNA from 1 species
UACGUAGGGUCCGAGCGUUAAUCGGAAUUACUGGGCGUAAAGCGUGCGCAGGCGGUUUUGUAAGCCAGAUGUGAAAGCCCCGGGCUCAACCUGGGAACUGCAUUUGGGACUGCAAGGCUGGAGUACGGCAGAGGGAGGUGGAAUCCACGUGUAGCAGUGAAAUGCGCAGAUAUCGGGAGGACACCAGUAGCGAAGGCGGCACUCUGGGGCCGGUACUGACGCUGAGGAGCGAAAGCGUGGGGAGCGAACAGG